rnacentral:tRNA from 1 species
GGGCCGGUCGUCUAGCCUGGUCAGGACGUCGCCCUUACACGGCGAAGGUCGGUGGUUCGAAUCCGCCCCGGCCCA